GAGAAAGCUUCAGUCAAAAGGAUCAGACUGAGGAAGGGAACACCGCCAAGCCCCAUGUAUGGGACCAAAGGAGAGUGGAUGAAUGAGGUUACAAGCUUUUAUCAAUCAUCACCAGUCUGAGGACCACACUUAGAGUAACACCGCAAUCAAUCGCAUCCAUAAAGGGCUUGGCAUCGUGUCUGGUAUGCUCUGCAGUUGGUCAAAUCGUAGGUAGAAGGAUGAGAACUAUGCUUCAAGAAGAAUAACUGAGGACACACGAGCACAGGGCAUGAAAAUUACAAAGGCAUGAUGGUUGCUGAGUACUUGGCACUGAUGAUGUCACAGACUGAAAGUUUGCGACCCACCCCCUGAAAUUUCAGGUGCUGACAUCCUAACCCCCAAUAUGACGAUAUUGGGAGGUGGGGCCUUUGAGAGGCAAUGAGGUCAUGAAUGGGAUUAGCGUCCUCAUACAAGAGGCACC